rnacentral:lncRNA from 1 species
AAAUAUAAUAUGAAUGCAUCAAUAUAAAUCAGGUGAAAUAAUAAAUCAACCGGAGACCCUACAGUGGUCCUGUACGGCUGAUUCUAUAGCUCAAUAUCCCACUCAGCCGGAGUCACCACAGUGACCUAUACGGCCCUACUCUGCACGUCACUCGGAACUACGUAAGGUAGUCUGUACGAUGAAAGGUGUAAGAAUACGCUCUAGUGCUUCUCUCAUCAAUCAUCGGCGCACAUAACUAAGGUCACCCACUAGUCGGAAUCACACCUAGUGAUCUAUACGACUAGCAUGUCGGAACCCUGACAUGGUCUGUGCAACAUUCACCUACUUGGAUCCAAGGCGAGCGUGCGGUGUGGUGAAUAAUAUAAGCACUAACACCUAGGGUGCAGGUUAUGAGCUUCCAAUGCAAUUCACAUAAAAAUAAAUCGUAUGAAUAAUGUAAAAACUCACCUGUGCGUCCACCGCGUCAAUUCAUAUAUAUAUGCAUCAAUUAUCAAUUCAAAUAUCUCAUCGAUUGCAUGCAUGGCAUUUUAAAACAUAUUUUCAUAUAAAUGCAUUUUCUGGGAAAAACAGUAGUAUAUAGGUAAUACGAAAACAAAACUGCCCACUCACUAGUAAGUGGAUGGAUCGUAACCCCCGUGACGUCCCUGGAUGCGCUCGUCCUCGGGAUAGGUGUCACCUAUAUGCGAAACAACUAUAAAAACGUUAAUUUAAACACAUAACCAACAAUUCGAAAUAACUUCUCAUACGGUGCUCAAUUUAGGUAUAUGAAUAUACCACAUCGACCUACUCGACGUCACGGACGUCGAGAAAUUUUUAGAAAAAAUUUUAGAAGCCCCACGCGCCGCCAUGCGCUGGCCAAGGCACGGCCAGACGCGCGGUUACGCGCAGACCACGCGCCGUGCGUGUCGUCUCCUACCCUGGGCUCGCCGGAUUGGUUUUUCUGGCGGCCGGAUUCUGGGCAAAUUUUGUAAUCGCUUGUUCUCCUUCGUUUCUCAACUGUUUUCUUCGAAUUUUAUAUCAAUUUGAAGCCCUCAACAUGUAGAAUCACGAUGGACUAGUUUCAAGGUCUAAAAUCCACUAGAUUUUACCUAGGGAAGCACGAUAAUCCGGAAAAUUUUGAAAGACUCCGUUCUCAGUCCUCCGACGUCCAAAUGUUACCAACGAAGUACCCCGAAGCUCGUGAGGAUGUCCUUAAGCUCACUGUGAGCUUGAAAUUCCCUGAAAUGUAAGAUUUCAUGUGUGCAUGAACAGUGCACAUUUUUGGGGUUAGGGUUUCACGACGAUUCCGAGGGUUUCACUUCCUAAAACUAGUACCAUUCAACUCAGAACAUCAAAAGGAUGAAGAAUCAUACCUUAUUUGCUUCGAUCUGCGAAGUUUAGAGAGUUCUUGGGUGAGGCCGUACACUUCGAGAGGGAGAGAGUGAGAGAAAGUCGUGAGGGAAGAGAGAGAGAAGGCAUGGGGGAAAGGAGAGAGAGCAGGGAGUGUGUGUGUGUGGUCCAACACAAAUCCACACCAUCCAUUUCUUUCCUAACUCCCUAACCACACAAACAAUCCCACAUUUAAUUAAUAAAAUUUCCCAAACUUAGGAAAAUAAACAUUAUGAAUAUAGUAUAUCACACACCCACCUAAGUAACAUCGAGGGUAGCAUCGUCAUUUCACGUCCUCGAUAUAUAUUUUCGGUACGGGCUGUGACAAUCUCCCCUCCUUAUAGAAUUUCGUCCCCGAAAUUCCCACAACCAAAUAAACCGCUUAAUACCCAUAGAAUAACCUUGGGUACAUCUCUCUCAUUCGAUCUUCUGUCCUAGGUAGCUUCUUCUAUAGAAUGGUUCCACCACAACACCUUCACCAAGCUCACCGUCUUAUUCCUUAGAACCUUAUCUUUCCAAUCCAAGAUAGUGACUGGUUCCUCAUCAUACGUCAAAUCCGGAUUAAUCUCUAGCGGUUGAGGAGGGAUCACAUGUGAAGGAUCAGAAAUGUAAUGUCGAAGCAUAGAGACAUGGAACACAUUAUGAACCUUAGAUAACUCCGGAGGCAACUCCAAUCUGUAAGCAAGUUCACCAAUCCUCUAUGUGAUCUCAUAAGGCCCUAUGUACCUAGGACUUAACUUUCCUCUCUUUCCAAAUCGUACCACACCUCUCCAAAGUGACAGUUUCAAAAACACCCAAUCACCCACAUCAUACACUCGAUCAGUAGCAUGUCUAUCUGCUAAACUCUUCUGCCGAUCCUGGGCUGCUUUCAAGUUAGACUUAAUCACCUGAAUAUUUUGAGUAGUCUCAUCCACAAUCUCUGGGCCUUCUAACACUCUUUCACCAACCUCAGACCAACACAAUGGCGUACGACACGCCCUACCAUAAAGUGCCUCAAAUGGUGACAUACCAAUGCUCGAAUGAAAACUAUUAUUGUAGGCAAAUUCCAUCAAGUCUAGGCGAUCAUGCCAGGAAUCACCGAACUGUAACACUAAAGAUCUCAACAUAUCCUCCAACGUCUGAAUAGUCCUCUUUGAUUGCCCAUCAGUUGAGGAUGAUAAGCAAUGUAAAGCAAUUUCGUACCAAGAGCUUCUUGAAAAGCCACCCAAAAUUUAGAAGUAAAUCUUGGGUCUCGAUCAGAAAUAAUAUUCACUGGAACUCCAUGAUACUUCACAAUCUUCGUGAUGAACAACUUAGCCAAUUUAUUCAGAGGAUACUUUUCCCUCGCUAGAAUGAAGUGCGCUGACUUGGUAAGUCGAUCCACAAUCACCCAAACACCAUCGAAUCCAUUUCGUGUACGAGGAAGCUUAUAAACGAAAUCCAUAGUUAUAUUUUCCCAUUUCCACUGAGGAACGGGAAGUGGCUGCAUUCGCCCAAAAGGCUUCUUCCUUUCUGCUUUGACUUGCUGGCAAAUAAUACAUCUACUUACAUAUUCUACAAUUUCCCUUUUCAUACCUGGCCAAUAGUAAAAUGGUCGAAUGGUAUGAUACAUCUUAGUUCCUCCUGGGUGCAUCGCAUAAGCUGAACAAUGCGCUUCAUCCAAAAUUUCCUUCUUUAAUUCCUCAUUAUUUAGUACAUACAUUCUGUUCUCCUGCAUAAGCAUGCCAUCUGAUUCUCGAAUCCUGAGGUCUUUCUUUUUCCCUUCAUUUCUUAAUUGAACCAUUUCUUGAAUUUCCUUAUUCACCAUCUGAGCUUCGAGUAUAUGAUCAACCAAAACUGGCCUGACUUGAAAACUAGCAAGAAAAGCUUCCCUUCGAUCUUCCAACUCCAACUUUACUCUAGUUGCCCUCAGUUCUACAAGAAGGGGAACACGACAGGCAUAUAAAGCAUUGAGUCGACCUUGAGGUUUCCUACUCAGUGCAUUAGCUACCACAUUAGCAUGACUCGGAUGAUACUCAAUAGUGCAAUCAUAAUCACUUAGCAAUUCCAUCCACCUUCGCUGACGAAGAUUAAGAUCAUGUUGAGUAAAUAGAUACUGGAGACUCUUGUGAUCAGUGAAGAUCUUACACUUCUCACCAUAUAAAUAAUGCCUCCAAAUCUUCAAAGCAAAGACAAUGGCUGCCAAUUCAAGAUCGUGAGUAGGAUAAUUCCUUUCAAGAUUCUUCAACUGUCGAGAAGCAUAGGCAAUCACUCUAUUAUGCUGCAUCAAAACACAUCCCAAACCAUUCAAGGAAGCAUCACUGUAAAUCUCAAAAUUACCGCUAUCAUCAGGAAGUACCAAUACUGGAGCAUGAGUGAGGCAAUAUUUCAAUUGCUGGAAACUCCGCUCACAAUUCUCAUCCCACUCGAAUUUAACAUCCUUCCUGGUCAACUUCGUUAACGGCAAAGCAAUCAUAGAAAAAUCCUGAACAAACCGUCGAUAAUAACCUGCCAAACCAAGAAAACUUCGUACCUCAGUGACGGUUCGAGGUUGUUCCCAAUUCUCCACUGCUGCUAUCUUUUGAGGAUCUACUUGAAUUCCUUGUGCCGAUACAACAUGCCCCAAAAAUGCCACUUCAGUCAACCAAAAUUGACAUUUACUGAACUUGGCAUACAACUGAUGUUCCCUCAAUUUCUUUAAUACCAAGUUAAGAUGUCGAAUAUAAUCUGCUUUAGAUUUAGAGUAUACCAGAAUAUCAUCAAUAAAAACAAUGACAAAUUUAUCAAGAUAUUGCUGGAAUACCUCGUUCAUUAGCCUCAUGAAAGCUGCAGGCGCAUUAGUCAACCCAAAUGGCAUCACCAGAAAUUCAUAAUGUCCGUAACGGGUUCUAAAAGUUGUCGUAGGUAUAUUUUCAUCUUUAAUCUUCAACUGAUAAUAACCAGAUCUCAAAUCAAUCUUAGAGAAUACACACGCACCUUUCAGCUGAUCAAACAAAUCAUUAAUGCAAGGCAAUGGAUAACGGUUUUUAAUCGUUACCCGGUUCAAUUGCCUAUAAUCAAUGCAUAAUCUCAGAGUUCCAUCUUUCUUCUCACAAAUAAUACUGGAGCUCCCCAAGGUGACGAACUAGGUUGAAUGAAACCCUUAUCAAGUAAUUCUUGUAACUGAAUUUUCAAUUCUCUCAACUCAGCUGGAGCCAUUCUAUAUGGAGUUAAAGAUAUAGGGUAUGUACCUGGAAGCAAAUCGAUAGAGAAUUCCACAUCUCUGUCUGGAGGCAAUCCCGGCAAAUCAUCAGAAAAUACAUCAGGAUAAUGCCUGACCACACCAACUUCUUCCACACUGCUAGGAACAACAUCAUUUAACACCACAUGUGCUAAAUAUCCUUGGCAACCUUUCGAUAAUAACUUCCUUGCUCUUAUGGCAGAAAUAACGCCAUGUCUCACCCCACUUCUUUCACCCACAAAAGUAACCUCGAGUAGUCCAGGGCGAUAAAAGUAACUGAUUUCCCAUAACAAUCAAUAUGGGCAUGAUUAUAAUGCAACCAAUCUGCUCUGAGAAUCACAUCAAAAUCCACAAUAUCUAACAGAAUAAGAUUAGCUGGCAUAACUACGCCCUCUACCAACACUGGACACCCAAGAUACACACUAUCAACAUAGCACUUAUCUCCUCUAGGCAUGGCAAACUCUAAAUCAAAUCCUAGAGGUGAAGGGUGAGGUUGAGUCAUUUGAGCAAACGUAUGAGAAAUCACAGAAUGCGUAGCACCACAAUCAAUCAAAACUCUAGCAAAAUGACCAAGAACAUUUAACGUACCCAUGAUCAAAUCUGGAUGGUUCUGAGCAUCUUGCAGUGAGAUGUGAUUAACACGUCCUUGAGCUUGCUGUCGUCCACCACGACCUCUGUUGCCUUGAUUAUCUCGCCCCUGAGAAGUACGUCCCUGGCCUGACUGAUUGGACUGCCUAGAUGAUCCUGCACCACCAGCAGCAACUUACCCCUGAUGGGGCUGACCUCCCUGAUGCCACUGAGAUCCACCAGCUGGCAUGGAAGAAUAAGAAGAAUAACCCCCAAGGUCUUGGGAAUACCCACUCUGAAAAUAAGGGUCCUGGGAAUACUGAUUCGGUCCGGAAGCAUAAGGAGCAACAUCACUCUGGUAGUGGUAAGCACUACCGCGACCCGACUGGCCAUAACUGCCUAGUCCAAAGCUCUGCUGAAUCGACGCUAGAGGUGGCAUAGUGGUCUGCUGAGUUCUCUGCUGACCCUGGGGACACUGAGAAGCCUGAUGUCCCAUUUGUCCACAAGUAUAACAAGCACCACCAUCUUUCCUGCACUCACCAUGAUGACGAAAAUUACAAUGGCGGCACCACGGAGCACCAGAACCACCAGCACCACCGGAAUCCCUCUGCCUCUGAAAUCUGGGUCCACCAGAAAAUCUUCCACCACCUCUCAUCGGGCCAGUAAUACUAUAUCCUCCACUAGAAGAACUCGAACUUGCUCCACUUUUCUUAAAAUUCUGCGUCUUACGAGGUCCCGGAAUGGAGAUACCCUUACCUUUAUCAUCUUUCUUCUGACCAUCAUCCUUGCCCUCGUCAUCCUCACUAUCACUAGGAAGAUUGUCGGAGUCCUCCAUCCUAACCAAAAUCUCGAAAAACUCAUGAUAAUCGGCGCAGGGAAGUGCACUGGCAAAAGUCCGCCAUUUUCUCUUAGUUCCUAACUUGAAACGUCGAAGCAUCUCUACCUGAUUACCAGCUGUAUCAGGGUCAUAACGAGACAAAUCAGUAAACUUUCUGUAGUACUCAUGCGCUGACAUAUUCCUCUGCUUCAAUCGAGUAAACUCAUGCUUCUUGCAAUCGAUGUACUCUGGAGGGACAAAUCUUUUCUUGAAAUUCUCUUUAAAUACUUCCCAAUCAGCUGCCAUUUCUGGGGACAUAAACUGAGUUUGAUUCCUCCACCAACCUGCCGGCUCUAGACCCAAAAACCAGGUAGUGGUCUCAACCCACCUAUUAGCAGGAAAGUUCCCCUGACUUUGCAUCACCUAAAACGUCUUCUCAAUAUGGUCUAGCCAUUUCUCUGUCCCCUUGUGACCCUCAUUACCCAUAAAACGAUCCAAUUUCAAAUUGUACAUAGUCUCCAAGGGUGUCCUCUGAGGAGGAGGAGGAGGACGAAUUGCAUUCUAAAAAGCAUGGGCCAUUGCUUCCCCUAACUGAGUAAUAUCAGGGAAAUUAGGUUCAGAAGUACUGCGGGAUUCCCUACGAGGCAGCAUAAUUCUGACAGAAAACAUCAAAAGAUCAUUAGAGCAUUAACAAUUAUAUAGGACUGUAACCUAGGCUCUGAUACAUAACUGACACACCCUGAUCCUAGAAUCAAGGCGUGCUGGUCGUCACGUGAUCGUGACGUAGCCAAAAGUGCGACACGGAAGUAAGAUAUAAUAGAAAUAUGAAGGAAUUUAAACCAACCACUAGCAGUAAUAACCUACUAGCAUAAAAGAGUGAGUUAUAAAGUAAAACACACGAAUUCAGAGCAUAGGUAUCAAGUGCAUUCCAGUAGGACUAUAAUUAAAAGUACAACACCCGUAGGUGAGUCCUACAUGCAGAACGUCUGUCAGAACGCCGAAAAAGACCUCGCGAGCCACCAACUGCUAACUAGAACCUGGAGGGGCGCAAAACAAAGAUGAGUGGGUCAGUAAAACCAAAGAUUUUCCAAAACAUUUCAUUUAAAACAUUUCUAACCCCUCACCGUAAAACCUGUAUACUUUCCCAGAAAUAUAGUUUAAAAAUAUAUAGAUAUAUCACCAAAAGCUCAAAUCCCAAUCCUUCAACGCUUUUAAGAAAGAAUAUGCCAUGCCAUGCCAAAAUAUAAUAUGAAUGCAUCAAUAUAAAUCAGGUGAAAUAAUAAAUCAACCGGAGACCCUACAGUGGUCCUGUAUGGCUGAUUCUAUAGCUCAAUAUCCCACUCAGCCGGAGUCACCACAGUGACCUAUACGGCCCUACUAUGCACGUCACUCGGAACUACGUAAGGUAGUCUGUACGAUGAAAGGUGUAAGAAUACGCUCUAGUGCUUCUCUCAUCAAUCAUCGGCGCG